rnacentral:rRNA from 1 species
UACGGAGGGUGCAAGCGUUGUCCGGAUUUAUUGGGUUUAAAGGGUGCGUAGGCGGUUAAUUAAGUCAGUGGUGAAAUCCUGGAGCUCAACUUCAGAACUGCCAUUGAUACUGGUUGACUUGAGUACAGACGAGGUUGGCGGAAUUGAUGGUGUAGCGGUGAAAUGCAUAGAUACCAUCAAGAACACCGAUUGCGAAGGCAGCUAACUAGGCUGUAGCUGACGCUGAGGCACGAAAGUGUGGGGAUCAAACAGG